rnacentral:misc_RNA from 1 species
GCUGAAUCUUCAAGGCUUCCAAUAAAGUGGUUUUUCCAACUCCUGCUUCUCCACAAAUCCCGAUUCUGCUUAUAUUUGAAUUUCCAAUUCUCCUCAUGAUUUUGCUCAGAAUAUGAUAAACCUUCAUUAGCCUUGAAGAAGAUAUUACAUUUUGAGCUGUAGCCUCAAGUGACAUCUCAGAUAGCACAGCAGCCUGCUCCAGAGCAGAGUAAUGACUUUUU